GAUGAACGCUGGCGGCGUGCCUAAUACAUGCAAGUCGAGCGAACGGACGAGAAGCUUGCUUCUCUGAUGUUAGCGGCGGACGGGUGAGUAACACGUGGAUAAUCUACCUAUAAGACUGGGAUAACUUCGGGAAACCGUAGCUAAUACCGGAUAAUAUUUUGAACCGCAUGGUUCAAAAGUGAAAGACGGUCUUGCUGUCACUUAUAGAUGGAUCCGCGCUGCAUUAGCUAGUUGGUAAGGUAACGGCUUACCAAGGCAACGAUGCAUAGCCGACCUGAGAGGGUGAUCGGCCACACUGGAACUGAGACACGGUCCAGACUCCUACGGGAGGCAGCAGUAGGGAAUCUUACGCAAUGGGCGAAAGCCUGACGGAGCAACGCCGCGUGAGUGAUGAAGGUCUUCGGAUCGUAAAACUCUGUUAUUAGGGAAGAACAUAUGUGUAAGUAACUGUGCACAUCUUGACGGUACCUAAUCAGAAAGCCACGGCUAACUACGUG
rnacentral:rRNA from 1 species